CAUUUCCCCACAGACCUAUUGCUGUCUUCUGAAGACACAAGCCCCAAGCCUCACUGAACAGCCUGAGAAGACCAGACUCAAAUGGCAUCUUACCUGAUUUUCUUGAUAGUCCUCCUGUGUUUUGACAAAGGAAGUACUCUGCAGUGUUAUUCAUGUGAGGGGGACAGCUGCCAUGGCAAGAACCAAAGUCCCACCAACUGUUCAUCCUUUGAUGCCUACUGUGAGACCAUCGUGGUGACUGUCCAGUUGGAUACCCACAAGAUUGAAAGAAUCAUCCAGAAAUGCUCUUCUAUCUGCCAGCCCCACAACAAAACAUUUGACAUGGUGCAUGUGACAUCGAGUUGUUGUAACUACACCCUCUGCAAUAGCAAUGGAGUGACCCAUGUGGCUGCCAGCAGAGGAGCGGUAGCCUUGACUGUGCUGACUUCCUUUGCUUUUCUCCUCUUUGGGAGCAGGCUUUGAUGUGCCAGCUGAUUACUUGAUUUAUCAACUAGGGAGCAUUUAUUGAGCACCUACUGUUUGUCUAUCAAAAUCAAAGAAGACCUGCCCUUGGGGGAGCUAACAAUCAAAUGAGGUAGACAAAUAAAUAUAUGUACAUAAUACA
rnacentral:lncRNA from 1 species